GAACAACUUUGGUGUUUAUGACGUCGAUAUUCGACGUCAUAAACACGAACAACUUUGGUGUUUAUGACGUCGAAUAUCGACGUCAUAAACACGAACA
rnacentral:miRNA from 1 species